rnacentral:tRNA from 2 species
GCCCUCGUAGCUCAGGGGUAGAGCGCUUCCUUGGUAAGGAAGAGGUCGGCGGUUCAAUUCCGCCCGUGGGCACCA